rnacentral:rRNA from 1 species
UACAGAGACUGCAAGCGUUAUUCGGAUUCACUGGGCGUAAAGGGUGCGCAGGCGGCCAAGUGUGUUAGGCGUGAAAGCCCGGGGCUUAACCCCGGAAUUGCACCUAAACUACAUGGCUAGAGCAUUGGAGAGGGUAGCAGAAUUCAUGGUGUAGCAGUGAAAUGCGUAGAUAUCAUGAGGAAUACCAGAGGCGAAGGCGGCUACCUGGACAAUUGCUGACGCUCAGGCACGAAAGCGUGGGGAGCAAAAGGG